GCCGAGACUAGAGUCACAUCCUGACAUGGUGGUUCUCCCCAUGUGCUAGAAUUCUUGAAGAGAAUCUGUUGGUCUUGAUUCACUGGUAGGGGUCUUCAGAGUUCAUGUUAGUGCCCAAAUCAGAAACUUGU